UGAGUGGGUCGGGUGGCGGCCUUUGACCUAGUCAAGGGAGGAAAGUCCGGACUUCAUCGAGCGCGGCGCCCGGCGCAAGCUGGGAGGGGGCGACCCCAUGGAAAGUGCCACAGAGAACAGACCGCCUCGGUUCGCCGAGGUAAGGGUGAAACGGUGAGGUAAGAGCUCACCAGCGGUUCGGGUAACCGGAUCGGCUUGGUAAACCCCGCUGGAAGCAAGACCAAAUAGGGAGGGGAUGACGUGGCUCACCGACCCUCCGGGUUGGUCGCGUAGAUAAAUCGUCACACAAAUACAGAAUCCGGCUUACAGACCCACUCACUUU
rnacentral:RNase_P_RNA from 1 species